UGCAGCUGUCCUACUGCGCUUACUCUGAUAUAACCACGAUUAACAACACAAUAGUACUAUUGACAAUCUAACUUCUGAAUUAUCACAGGCGCACGCUGAAGGCGGAAAUGAAGCAUGAUCUGGCUUGCAUCUGGUCAUGAAGAAAUUGCUGACACGUUAGUUGCAGUCCACCUCCACCAACAGGGUGGAAAACAAAGAUCGCCAUUCCGAUUAGCUGCUAUCUCCCAGUUCAAGCACUUUUGCUGUCUGGACACUGGUUCCUGUGGAUGGGGUGUUACAAGCUUUACUGUCUGAUAUAGAAGUGAUGAGCAUCCAUAAGGACACAUGCCAGAAAGGGAGUCUCUUUGGGAUGACAAACCCUCAUCACCUCAUGAGGACACAAUGGUUGACGAAUGGUUCUCAAGCACAUCGAAACUUCCAACAAAUAAUUCAUGAAAAAGCCAGUCACUGCUAGCACCAGGAAUUGAACGUGGGCCAUCCUGCUACCAGUCAGAGAUGUUCAGUGGUGUAGCCACGAGGGGGCUAAGGGGUCUCGAGCCCCCCCUACCUGCCACGGACCGACCCACACAAAUCGUGCAAAUCCGAGAACAUAAUAUAUGGGGGGGGGGACCAGUGUGACUAUCGCGAAAGUUCUUGCAGUUCAUGGCGUCUAUCUAAGAAGCAUUCUUGAAUGGUUUUCAAAGUAUGAGCUUUUCAAAAUACUUCCAAUCUCGUGACACCACUUCAUUGGUCAUGACAGCCUAUACAUGUAAUCGUACUGUGAACGUCUAAAUCAACUAUUUUCGUUCCCUUUUUUAAUCCUCAGUUUGAAGUGUGCACAAGUAUGUGUGUGUUGUCGACACAGGAUCAGC